UUCCCUAUGGGGCGCAGCAGUCGGGAAUAUUGCGCAAUGGAGGAAACUCUGACGCAGUGACGCCGCGUGCAGGAAGAAGGUUUUCGGAUUGUAAACUGCUUUAGACAGGGAAGAAAAAAGACAGUACCUGUAGAAUAAGCUCCGGCUAACUACGUGCCAGCAGCCGCGGUAAUACGUAGGUGGCAAGCGUUAUCCGGAUUUAUUGGGCGUAAAGGGAACGCAGGCGGUCUUUUAAGGCUGAUGUGAAAGCCUUCGGCUUAACC
rnacentral:rRNA from 1 species